GAAUGCUGACAUAAGUAACGAUAAAGCGGGUGAAAAGCCCGCUCGCCGGAAGACCAAGGGUUCCUGUCCAACGUUAAUCGGGGCAGGGUGAGUCGACCCCUAAGGCGAGGCCGAAAGGCGUAGUCGAUGGGAAACAGGUUAAUAUUCCUGUACUUGGUGUUACUGCGAAGGGGGGACGGAGAAGGCUAUGUUAGCCGGGCGACGGUUGUCC
rnacentral:rRNA from 1 species